rnacentral:rRNA from 1 species
GGCAGACGGGUGAGUAACGCGUGGUCAACUACGUUGAGUGGGGGAUACUAGCCGAAAGGUUAGCUAAUACCGCAGACGUCUCCGAGUGGCAUCACUUGGCGAUAAAAGGAGCAAUCCGCUCGAUGACGGGACCGCGUCCCAUUAGCUAGUUGGUGGGGUAACGGCUACCAAGGCACCGAUGGGUAGCUGGUUUGAGAGAGCGACCAGCCACACUGGGACUGAGAAACGGCCCAGACGUCCUACGGGAGGCAGCAGUGAGGAAUUUUCCGCAAUGGGCGCAAGCCUGACGGAGCGACGCCGCGUGUGGGAAGAGGGCCUUCGGGUCGUAAACCACUGUCGAAGGGGAAGAUAAUGACGGUACCCUUGGAGGAAGCCCCGGUAACUACGUGCCAGCAGCCGCGGUAAGACGUAGGGGGCAAGCGUUACUCCGGAAUUAUUGGGCGUAAAGCGCUCGUAGGCGGAUCAGAUAGUCGGUGAAGAAAGACCUGGGCUCAACUCAGGGAACGGCACCGAUACUCCUGGUCUUGAGGCAAUCAGAGGGGUGAUGGAAUUCCCGGUGUAGCG